rnacentral:lncRNA from 1 species
GUAACUCUCUGAAGGCCAUGGUGCCAGUCAAAUAGAAAUAUAACUUAGCAAAACGGAAACAGGAGAAGGGUGAUGAUGCUUGGGAAGUGCUGGCCUCCUCCUUCCUCUACCCUCUUCUUUUUGGGCAUAUUCUCUUGCAACUAUCAACCUUCCCUCUGCCUCUCUCCAACAAUGGGGAGGCUUGUGCUGGGAGCAGGCCCUUAGUCAUAUAAUCAGAUGGAUUUCUACUCUUUCCAAUCCAAUUUAUGGCUUUCUGAUCUAUUUAAAGUACAAUUAAUCUGGGGAUGUCUUAAUUUACAUAUAUUACAUUAAAUGAAUUAUUAGGGGCAUAGGAUGAAGCUGUGAAGUUACACAGUCUGAGUUCUCAUCUCAACAUUUCCACUCAAGAACGAUGUGACUUUGCUGAAGCUACUAAAAUUCUGUGCCUCAGUUUCCUCAUCUGUCAAUUGGAGAGGAUCAUAGUUGUAGCCACCUUAUAGGCUUUUGGAGCCCAGAACAAACAAUAAGAAUGAUUCAUGCUGUCCAUGGUAAUAAUGUUAAACAACUGCACCGAGCUUGUGAAAUGACAUCUGAGAAGAUUAGUGGGCUCCCAGUAGCGGAAGCAAUGGGAAGGCUUAACAAAGACUCUGCUUAGCCUUCCUUCCUUGAAUUCUAGUUCAUUUAUUGAUUCAUAACUGACCAUUUGAUUAAGGAGACAACCUGACUUACACAGCAGCCAGUGUCCUGGAAAGUACUUAACCAAGACACAUUACUUUUAGUCCUAAUGAAGAAACUAUCAGGUCUGGUAAGAAUAAGAGGAAACAAAAUGUUAUUGGCAUGCUCAAUAAUGAUAAAGCCAAGAUGUCACCUGCCAGUACAAUGAAGAGGGACUGGGGUCUUGGCACUAAAAGGUGCAACUGAAGGAACAGAGAAACUGUGUAAUUGUAAAACCUCCUUGUGGCCCCACAUGGCUCAUACUCAAAUGAUUCCAGUGUCUAUGGCCUGAGAAGUGCUUCAUGAAAUGAGGAACAGUGCCUCAAGUCAGAGAUUGGCAUGGUGAGUCGCCGGGAGGUGGAAAAGAGGCACAGCUUCAUUGAAGCUACAGUUGGCUGCAAGGAACCAUUUCAAAUCAUCUUAGUUCUACGGGGCCAUUCAGGUGGCAAAGGCCCAGGUAACAUUUGAUCAAGUUGCUACAGGGCUUGGACCUACUUUUAUUGCCCCUUACUUUUCCCACUAACAUUUUUGCUUGAAAUAUCGAUGUUUUUUUGGUGCAGCAAAACUCUUUUCCCACAGCUAAAUUGAAGUAGGGCAUAUGUGCUUCCCUCACCUCGCUCCCAGUCCCUCUUGACCCCGAAAUGGUCUAGCAGCCUGUGCUUUGUUAAACUGAAAAUGUGUAGAAAUUUUUAUAGAGAUAUUCAGCUAUAUAAAUAGCUUUGAAAUUUGUCAUAACUUUAAAAACAGGUCAAAAAGGAAAUUGAACAGCUAGUGAGUUUCUGUCUUAGUCCGUUUUGUGCUGCUAUAACAGAAUACCAUAAACUAGGUAAUUUAUAAACAAUAGAAGUUUAUUUGUCUCAAUGGCCAACAAGCAUAUGGAAAAAUGUUCAACAUCACUAAUUAUCAGGGAAAUACAAAUCAAAACCACAGUGCGAUACCACGUAACUUCUGCAAUAAUGGUCAUAAUCAAAAAAUAAUAAUAAAUAAAUAGAUGUUGGCAUGGAUAUGGUGAAAAGGGAACACUUUUACUGGGUUGGUGGGAAUGUAAACUAGCACAACCACUAUAGAAAACAGUAUGGAGACUCCUUAAAGAACUAAAAGUAGACCUACCAUUUGACCUAGCAACCCCACUGCUAUGUAUCUGCUCAGAAGUAAAGAAGUCAUUAUACAAAAAAGACACUUGUUACAUGCAUGUAUAUAGCAGUACAAUUGCCCAAAUGCCCAUCAAUCAAUGAGUGGAUAAAAAAUGUUAUAUACAUACAUAUAUGUGUGUGUAUAUAUACAUAUACAUAUACACACACACACACAUACACACACACACACACACACACACACAUAUACCAUGGAAUACUGCUCAGCCAAAGAAAGGAAUGAAAUAAUGGGAUUUGCAGCAACCUGGAUGGAAUUGGAGGCUAUUAUUCUAAGUGAAGUAACUCAGGAAUAGAUAACCAAACAUACAUGUUCUCACUCAUAUGUGGGAACUAAGCUAUGAGAAUGCAAAGGCAUAAGAAUGAUAUAUUGGAGUUUGGAGACUCAAAGGAAAGAGUGGGGGAGAGGGAGGGAUAAAAGACUACACAUUGGGUACAGUAUACAAUGCUUGAGUGAUGGGUGCAACAAAAUCUCAGAAAUCCCCACUAAUGAGCAUAUUCAUGUAACAAAAUACCAUCUGUUCCCCAAAACUUAUUGAAAUAAAAAAUAAAAAAUUAAUGAUAAUAACAAUAAAAAGAAGUUUAUUUGUCUUAUGUUUCUGGAGGCCAGGAAGUCCAAGAUCAAGGGGUUGCAUCUAGUGGGGGUCUUCUUGCUGAGUCAUAACCUGGCAGAAGACAUCACAUGAAGAGAGAAUGGAUGAGAGCCAGCAAGCAAGAGAGGGCCAAACUUGCUUUUAUAACAAACCCAUUCCUGACAUCAUGAACUUACCCCUGCCAUAAUGACAUUAAUCCAUUCCAGGGGGCAAAGCUCUCAUGACCUAAUCACCUCUCAAAAGUGCCACCUCUCGAUGCUGUUGCAUUGGGGAUUAAGUUUCCAACACAUGAACUCUGGGGAGAUGCAUUCAAACCUUAGCAGUUUAA